rnacentral:lncRNA from 1 species
GAUGGAUUGAAGUUCAGUUUUAUUUCCUUUUCUGACUCAUUUAUUCUCUCCCAGGCAAAGUCAUUUGUACUCCAGCUACCUUCGAAAGGCAUGAUGCCCAGGCUAAGAAAAUUUUCCAAUCUUUUAAUGGGACUGCUGCAGAUGAAGAAAAACAUCACGUAUAGAAAACCAAUGAUCAAAAGUGACCACCCCUCUCUAGGACACUUAAAUACAAAGAGGAUCUCAGACAGUCAGGACGAUGUGAGUUUAAAAACGUACUGUAAUAUGUAUCACAGAAAGUUGGAGAAGACAGAGAAGAAUUUGGGACAAAAAAGUCAUCCAUAUGCCACCACCCUGAGAGUCACUGGUGGCAGAUGGUGGAUUUGGGUGCAGUUUCAGACAUGCUGAGGUCACUCUGCAAAGAAGUUUAAACCUCGAAUGUUAAAGGAUAAACAUUCCCCUCUAUGUGCAUAAGCAAUUUGUGAACAUAAUGUAAUUUUUGCAUAAUAAAUCAUAAUGUGGUUACA